rnacentral:rRNA from 1 species
ACCCCGAACAGGGGAGUGAAAUAGAACCUGAAACCAUACGCUUACAACCGGUCGGAGCGGCUUCGUGCCGUGACGGCGUGCCUAUUGAAUAAUGAGCCUACGAGUUACUAAUCACUGGCGAGGUUAAGUGCUGUUAAGCACGGAGCCGAAGCGAAAGCGAGUCUGAACAGGGCGGCCAGUCAGUGGUUGUAGACGCGAAACCUUGCGAUCUACCCUUGAGCAGGAUGAAGGUCGGGUAACACCGACUGGAGGUCCGAACGAAUAAGCGUUGAAAAGCUUCUCGAUGACUUGAGGGUAGGGGUGAAAGGCUAAUCAAGCUGGGAAAUAGCUCGUACUCCCCGAAAUGCCUUUAGGGGCAGCGUUGUAAUUGAGAGUCUACUGGAGGUAGAGCUACUGAUUGGAUGCGGGGGCUUCACCGCCUACCAAAUCCUGACAAACUCCGAAUGCCAGUAGUAUGAUUUACAGCAGUGAGCGACUGGGUGCUAAUGUCCAGUUACGAGAGUGGAACAACACAGACCAGCAACUAAGGUCCCGAAGAAUAUGCUAAGUUGAUCUAACGAUGUUUUGUUGCAGAGACAGCUAGGAUGUUAGCUUGGAAGCAGCUAUUCAUUCAAAGAGUGCGUAACAGCUCACUAGUCGAGCGACAGAGCGUGGAUAAUAAACGGGCAUCAAGCAUAUCACCGAAGUUCUGGACACGAGAGUGUGGUAGGGGAGCAUUCCAUUCGCGCAGAAGUCGGGCCGUGAGGUUCGGUGGAGCGUAUGGAAAAGCAAAUGUAGGCAUAAGUAACGAUAAUGCGGGAGAGUAACCCGCACACCGCAAGACCAAGGUUUCCUGAUCAACGCUAAUCGGAUCAGGGUUAGUCGGGUCCUAAGGGUAAGCCGAACGGUGAUCUCGAUGGAUAAUCGGUUAAUAUUCCGAUACUGACAUAUACCUCGAUGGAGAGACGAAGGAACGUAAGUGACGCCGCCUGACGGAAUAGGUGGUUAAAGGGCGUAGGUAUAGGGACAGAUUAAGAGUUAGUCCUUGCUGAGACCCGACAGUACGGAGCGGCUACGGCCAAUCCGAUAGUUCACCCAAGUCGACUUCCGAGAAAAUCUUCUAAGUUAUAGUAUAUGUCACCCGUACCGUAAACCGACACAGGUGGUCGAGGAGAGUAUCCUAAGGUGCUCGAGUGAAUCACGGUUAAGGAACUAGGCAAAUUAACCCCGUAACUUCGGGAAAAGGGGUCCCUAUGAAAGUAGGGCGCAGCGAAGAGGUCCAGGCGACUGUUUAUCAAAAACACAGGGCUCUGCAAAUUCGAAAGAAGACGUAUAGGGCCUGACACCUGCCCGGUGCUGGAAGGUUAAGAGGGGAUGUCAUCGCAAGAGAAGCAUUGAAUCGAAGCCCCAGUAAACGGCGGCCGUAACUAUAACGGUCCUAAGGUAGCGAAAUUCCUUGUCGGGUAAGUUCCGACCUGCACGAAUGGUGUAACGAUCUGGACACUGUCUCAACCGUGAGCUCGGUGAAAUUGUAGUCCCGGUGAAGAUGCCGGGUACCCGCAACGGGACGAAAAGACCCCGUGAACCUUUACUAUAGCUUAACGCUGA